UGCGGGAUGGAGCAGUUGGUAGCUCGUCGGGCUCAUAACCCGAAGGUUGCAGGUUCGAGUCCUGCUCCCGCAACCA
rnacentral:tRNA from 1 species